AACUUGUUACAGAUCACACACAUGCACAGGUUGCAAAAACCAUUUAUGUUGGUACAUAUUUCACAAUUACAAUCAUCAGCUGGAAGUUGACUUUGGCAUGCUAUGUUUCUGCAUCUCUUGAAAACAAAGACCUCAAUAAGGGAUGUUUGAGAUAGACUAAUACUUGGAUGCAGAAAUGCUUGAAUUCCAGUAUUUAUUGCAACAAGGAUUUCAAGCUGCACCCUCUGUGCUCUAAUUAAUGUCUUAGCUGUCAAAUCAGAUCUAUUCUGAACAAGCUUCUGCAAAAUCAAAAA
rnacentral:misc_RNA from 1 species